AUUGAACGCUGGCGGCAGGCCUAACACAUGCAAGUCGAACGGUAACAGGAAGCAGCUUGCUGCUUUGCUGACGAGUGGCGGACGGGUGAGUAAUGUCUGUGAAACUGCUUGAUGGCGGGGGAUAACUACUGGAAACGGUAGCUAAUACCGCAUAACUUCUCAAGCCCAAAGAGGGGGAGUUUCGGGCCUCUUUCCAUCGGAUGUGCCCAGAUGGGAUUAGCUAGUAGGUGGGGUAACGGCUCACCUAGGCGACGAUCCCUAGCUGGUCUGAGAGGAUGACCAGCCACACUGGAACUGAGACACGGUCCAGACUCCUACGGGAGGCAGCAGUGGGGAAUAUUGCACAAUGGGCGAAAGCCUGAUGCAGCCAUGCCGCGUGUAUGAAGAAGGCCUUCGGGUUGUAAAGUACUUUCAGCGGGGAGGAAGGGAGUAAAGUUAAUACCUUUGCUCAUUGACGUUACCCGCAGAAGAAGCACCGGCUAACUACGUG
rnacentral:rRNA from 1 species